rnacentral:rRNA from 1 species
UACAUAGGUGGCGAACGUUAUCCGGAUUUAUUGGGCGUAAAGGAUGCGUAGAUGUUAUUAUAAGUUAGCAGUAAAAAAUAGAAGCUUAACUUCUAGCAGCUGGUAAUACUAUAAUAAUCGAGUGCUGGAGAGGUUGACGGAAUUCUGUGUGGAGCGGUGAAAUGCGUAGAUAUCGUAAGGAAGACCAGUGGCGAAGGCGGGUCUCUGGACAGUUCCUGACGCUGAGGCACGAAGGCCAGGGGAGCAAACGGG